AGCCGAAAACGUUUUAAAAGUGCUUUUUUCCCUUGUCUUUAUGACGUCAUCAGUUAUUUUCGAAUUUGGACAACAGAGAAUUUCUGCUACGCAUCAUAUCGAAUUAAUCGUUAAAAAGAAAGAAAAAUCGAAAAAAUCUCUUAAUUUCCGCAUCCAUUGCAUUUCAUUUAUUAUUUUUAUUAAGAGAUGUCAGCCCGUCGAUUUAGUGAUUGGAAUUUGGAAUGUAAAGUUUAUAUUGGAAAUAUCAGUAAUCGUACAACCAAAGUUGAUAUUGAAGAGGUGUUCAGCAAGUAUGGUCCUUUGAGAAAUGUUUGGAUUGCUCGCAGUCCACCCGGAUUUGCAUUUGUAGAGUAUGAAGAUAGAAGAGAUGCUGAGGAAGCUUGUGCUUGUUUGGAUGGAUCACGUCUUUGUAGUUCAAGAAUCAGAGUGGAGAUGUCCCAUGGAAAGACCAAGAGGAGAAGAGAGGGUGGUGGGCGACGAUCUCCGCUUAUCCAUCAAUUACAGUGUGGCGCUGCAAGCCUCCUUAAACUCAAUGUACCACUUACUUCUGUGCAGCUUUUUCAAUUAUGUGCCACUUAGGAUCUGCUACUUCUGUUCUUUGAAGACAGAAACAUGAGCUACUGUUUCUACUAUUGCCUCCAUUUCCCCCCACUUUGCUGGCAGUAGUUUCAAACUCACUCAAGAGUUCCUCAACGCUUUAACAUCUGAUACUCGAAUAGCUACAAACCUGGAAUACCGCGUCUCCCACCUCCUCCCAAUCAGCAGCCAUCAUACCACCUUAUCUGCUACCACAUCCCACCACCACCCUCAAUUCUUCAUUAACAUCACAAUUCAACGUGCAGCAAUAUUGUAAGAAUGCAGCAUCAAAGUCGCCCCAGAUAUUAUUCUAGAAGUCGUAGUAGGAGCCGCAGCCCUCGUUACAACCAGCGAGAUAAGAGGGAUCGAUCUUAUUCAAGGGAACGAAGAUAAACAAAAUUUAUUUAAAGUACUACAAGCAGAAG
rnacentral:misc_RNA from 1 species